rnacentral:rRNA from 1 species
AUUGAACGCUGGCGGCAGGCCUAACACAUGCAAGUCGAGCGAGUGGCGGACGGGUGAGUAAUGUAUGGGGACUGCCCGAUAGAGGGGGAUAACUACUGGAAACGGUGGCUAAUACCGCAUACUAUCGGAUAACCCAUAUGGGAUUAGCUAGUAGGUGGGGUAAAGGCUCACCAAGGCGACGAUCCCUAGCUGGUCUGAGCGGACGAACAGCCACACUGGGACUGAGACACGGCCCAGACUCCUACGGAGGCAGCGGUGGGGAAUAUUGCACAAUGGGGGCAAGCCUGAUGCAGACAUGCCGCGUGUAUGAAGAAGGCCUUAGGGUUGUAAAGUACUUUCAGCGGGGAGGCGUUACCUGCAGAAGAAGCACCGGCUAACUCCGUGCCAGCAGCCGCGGUAAUUC